AACGAACGCUGGCGGCGUGCCUAACACAUGCAAGUCGAGCGAGAAAGGUUCCUUCGGGGACCGAGUAAAGCGGCGCACGGGUGAGUAACACGUAGGUAAUCUGCCCCUUAGUCUGGAACAACUGGAGGAAACUUCAGCUAAUGCCGGAUGAGACCACGGCCCCUUCGGGAGCCGCGGCCAAAGAUGGCCUCUACUUGUAAGCUAUCGCUGAGGGAUGAGCCUGCGGGCCAUUAGCUUGUUGGUGAGGUAACGGCUCACCAAGGCUGUGAUGGCUAGCUGGUCUGAGAGGAUGACCAGCCACACUGGGACUGAGACACGGCCCAGACUCCUACGGGAGGCAG
rnacentral:rRNA from 1 species